rnacentral:rRNA from 1 species
UACGAAGGGUGCAAACGUUGCUCGGAAUUAUUGGGCGUAAAGCGCACGUAGGCGGCUUGGCAAGUCGGAUGUGAAAUCCCUCGGCUCAACCAAGGAAGUGCAUCCGAAACUGCUAAGCUUGAGUACUUAAGAGGAUCGCGGAAUUCCCGGUGUAGAGGUGAAAUUCGUAGAUAUCGGGAGGAACACCAGCGGCGAAGGCGGCGAUCUGGGAAGAUACUGACGCUGAGGUGCGAAAGCGUGGGGAGCAAACAGG